CGAGAGGGUGCAAGCGUUAAUCGGAAUUACGUGGGCGUAAAGCGAGCGUAGUCGGUUAUUUAAGUCGGGUGUGAAAGCCCCGGGCUCAACCUGGGAAUUGCAUUCGAUACUGGAUAGCUAGAGUUCGGCAGAGGGAAGCGGAAUUUCCGGUGUAGCGGUGAAAUGCGUAGAUAUCGGAAGGAACAUCAGUGGCGAAAGCGGCUUCCUGGACCAGAACUGACGAUCAGGCUCGAAAGCGUGGGGAGCAAACAGGAUUAGAUACCCUGGUAGUCCACGCCAUAAACGAUGACAACUAGACGUUGGGAGGGUAAGCCUCACAGUGUCGCAGCUAACGCGUUAAGUUGUCCGCCUGGGAGUACGGCCGCAAGGUUG
rnacentral:rRNA from 1 species